AUUGAACGCUGGCGGCAGGCUUAACACAUGCAAGUCGAGCGGGGUGAUGGUGCUUGCACUAUCACUUAGCGGCGGACGGGUGAGUAAUGCUUAGGAAUCUGCCUAUUAGUGGGGGACAACAUCUCGAAAGGGAUGCUAAUACCGCAUACGUCCUACGGGAGAAAGCAGGGGAUCACUUGUGACCUUGCGCUAAUAGAUGAGCCUAAGUCGGAUUAGCUAGUUGGUGGGGUAAAGGCCUACCAAGGCGACGAUCUGUAGCGGGUCGGAGAGGACGGUCGGCCACACUGGGACUGAGACACGGCCCAGACUCCUACGGGGGGCAGCGGUGGGGAAUAUUGGACGAUGGGGGGAACCCUGAUCCAGCCAUGCCGCGUGUGUGAAGAAGGCCUUAUGGUUGUAAAGCACUUUAAGCGAGGAGGAGGCUACUGAGACUAAUACUCUUGGAUAGUGGACGUUACUCGCAGAAUAAGCACCGGCUAACUCUGUGCCAGCCGCCGCCGUAA
rnacentral:rRNA from 1 species